ACUCCUACGGGAGGCAGCAGUAGGGAAUCUUCGGCAAUGGACGAAAGUCUGACCGAGCGACGCCGCGUGAGUGAAGAAGGUUUUCGGAUCGUAAAACUCUGUUGUUAGAGAAGAACAAGUGGGAGAGUAACUGUUCCCACCUUGACGGUAUCUAACCAGAAAGCCACGGCUAACUACGUGCCAGCAGCCGCGGUAAUACA
rnacentral:rRNA from 1 species